GCUCAUGUGGCGCAAUGGUUAGCGCAGGAUGCUUAUAUCAUCAAGGUUGCAGGUUCGAGUCCUGCCAUGAGUA
rnacentral:tRNA from 1 species